rnacentral:rRNA from 1 species
AGUGAACGCUGGCGGUAGCCCUAACACAUGCAAGUCGAACGGCAGCACAGUAAGAGCUUGCUCUUACGGGUGGCGAGUGGCGGACGGGUGAGGAAUACAUCGGAAUCUACUUUUUCGUGGGGGAUAACGUAGGGAAACUUACGCUAAUACCGCAUACGACCUACGGGUGAAAGCAGGGGAUCUUCGGACCUUGCGCGAUUGAAUGAGCCGAUGUCGGAUUAGCUAGUUGGCGGGGUAAAGGCCCACCAAGGCGACGAUCCGUAGCUGGUCUGAGAGGAUGAUCAGCCACACUGGAACUGAGACACGGUCCAGACUCCUACGGGAGGCAGCAGUGGGGAAUAUUGGACAAUGGGCGCAAGCCUGAUCCAGCCAUACCGCGUGGGUGAAGAAGGCCUUCGGUUGUAAAGCCCUUUUGUUGGGAAAGAAAAGCAGCAGGUUAAUACCCCGCUGUUCUGACGGUACCCAAAGAAUAAGCACCGGCUAACUUCGUG